UCAAAACUUUUACUCCUUCCCACUUUCCCCCCAAAACCUUUACUACCCUCCCCUCCCAACCCCCCAAUCUACCCAAAAUUCAUUUCCCACCAAAAUUUUACUCUCCCAUUUACUUUUUCUCAAAAUUUUACUCCCAAAAACCCUCAAAACUUUUUAUUUUUCCCCAAAAUUUUUACUCCCUCCCACUUUUUACCUAAAACUUUUAUUCCCUUCCCAUCUCACCUCUCAUCUACCCCAAACCCUCCCCCCUCCAAUUUUUUUUAAUAUAUUCCCUCCAAAAUUU
rnacentral:lncRNA from 1 species